UGAGUGUAUCGGUGUUUGUUAUUCAUGUUUGAUCUCGAUGCAACGAGUGCAAGAAGAUGAACAUGUGCAUACCAAUGUGGAAAUGAGUACCUGAAAGUGCGAAAAACGUUUCGCACAUGUGCGACAAUUUAGAAACAGAUGCAAAGUGCACGAAAAUGUGGGGAAACCCCCACCUGUGCUGGAAUCUCUGAUAUGUGGUAGUUCCUCUCAAAACGUUUACUUUUUAAUUGUUAUGAUCUGUGAUUGCCGGUGGUAGCAGAGGUUUCCUCACCUAAUUUUUUGCUGUGUUGGUGUAUCCUUGGACCGUAACUUUCAUCCUGCCGACUCCCGUUACGUCAAACCGUGACAUGCCGCGAAGGAAAGGCCACGGAGUGUCCCCCGCAAAACGAGCCCAAGUAAAUAAGGAUGAUCAUCAAGCAAAAAAGAAAUCAUUGGAGACUAAUGCGGAGGCUGUGGUCGCGGAACCCCGGGCACCUAACGGCAGCCACGAGGCCGUGUCCCCAGCGCAGAGGGACAAGUCGCCACAGCAG